rnacentral:rRNA from 1 species
GAUGAACGCUGGCGGCGUGCCUAAUACAUGCAAGUCGAGCGAACAGAUAAGGAGCUUGCUCCUUUGACGUUAGCGGCGGACGGGUGAGUAACACGUGGGUAACCUACCUAUAAGACUGGGAUAACUUCGGGAAACCGGAGCUAAUACCGGAUAAUAUUUCGAACCGCAUGGUUCGAUAGUGAAAGAUGGUUUUGCUAUCACUUAUAGGUGGACCCGCGCCGUAUUAGCUAGUUGGUAAGGUAACGGCUUACCAAGGCGACGAUACGUAGCCGACCUGAGAGGGUGAUCGGCCACACUGGAACUGAGACACGGUCCAGACUCCUACGGGAGGCAGCAGUAGGGAAUCUUCCGCAAUGGGCGAAAGCCUGACGGAGCAACGCCGCGUGAGUGAAGAAGGUCUUCGGAUCGUAAAACUCUGUUAUUAGGGAAGAACAUACGUGUAAGUAACUGUGCACGUCUUGACGGUACCUAAUCAGAAAGCCACGGCUAACUACGUG